ensembl:processed_transcript 1810059H22Rik RIKEN cDNA 1810059H22 gene
AGAAGCUCCCAGGACCAGGCCUAGGUGAGCAGACAGAGGCAGUAAGCCUCAGAGAUGACAAUUGCAUCAGGAGAAUGAAAGUUACAUUUACAACUGCUCUUAUUUUCCUGCAUUGCUAUUCUCCCGAAAUACUGUUAAACAUUACCCCUGCUGCUGCUGCCGAGUCUGCUCUGUUUCUCUUUGCGCAUGAUUUGCAAAUAAAGGAAGUUCAGAUUGGACAUGGCGACACAUGCCCUAUGAUCCCAGCCCUGGGGAAGCUGAGACAAGAGGAGCGGAAGUACAAGGCCAGCCUGGGCUACACGUGGGAGACCUUGCCUGAAAGACAAGCAAAAAAAAAAAAACAAAAACAAAAAACCCUCCCGAACCCAAAACGAAAAAGGACAACCAACCAGCCAAGCCAAAGAAGACGUGUACUGCGAUGUUCGAGGAUAUCUUGUUGGUUUUGUUGACUGUGGGUGAGACAUUUGUGCCCGUUCCAUCCAUGGUGGGAAAAGCUGAUGGGCAACCCAGCCGCCCGUGAAGACGAGGAAAUGGCAACGUUUUGGCAGUACCUCUGUAGGCUAGUAUAGGUCAACGCACGCAACACCAGCCCGGGAGAGAGAAUCUCAGCUAAGGGAUUGGCCCCAUCAGAUUGGUCUGUGGCUCGGCUUAUGUAGAAUAUUUUCUUGGUUGCUGAUUGUUAGCAUUCUGUCUAAGCUCCACCCCCACAGUUACCUGGCAACAGCCAGGUGGGCCUCACUCACUGUAAAAGGGGCUGCUUGACCCAUCCACUCUCUUGCUCUUGCCUUCCUGCUCCGCUCCCCUCCCCAUUCCCCUCAUUCCUCCCCCAUGUGCUCAUGGCCAGCCUCUAUUCCUCUUCUCUACUCUAUCUCUCUGCCUUUCUUUGCCUCUACUUCCUUCUUAACUCCCCUCCCCAUGCCCUGAAUAAACUCUAUUCUCUCUACUAUACUGUCAUGUGGCUGGUCCCUCAGGGGGAAGGGAUGCCUCAGCAUGGGCCGCUGAGACACCCCUCCCCCCACACCUCACCACACAUACACCAAACAUAUCCCCCCUCUCUUUAUUUUUUAUAAACACAUCACUGAUUGAUAUAGAAAGGCCUGUUCUACUGUGGGCGGUUCUAUCCUUAGGCAGGAGGGCCUGGGCUAUAGAGGAAAAGUGGGUGAAUGGCCAGUAAGCAGUGUCCCUCCAUGGUCUUUGCUUCAACUUCUGUUUCCAGGUUCCAGCUUUCCUUGAGGUUGGACUGUGAUCUUGGAGAUGUAAGAUGAAAUCAGCCCUUUCCUCCCUAACUUGCUUUUGGUUUCUGUUUUCCCGAUCACAGCCACAGGCAACCAAGCCAGAAUAAUAGCUAAUCUAGUUUAAUUUCUGAGGUCUGCACCUCUGACUGCGACAUCUCUGAUGGGGCUCUGUCCCCCAACACUGCCAUCCGGAGGCAUCGGACCACGACGUGAGAUUGGAUGAGGAUGAACUGCACAGCGUCGACCAGACGGAAUGUGGAAUUAGAGUGGAAAGCAAUAAUUCUGAGAAGUGGGAAGGCUUCGUGGGAGCAGGCAGCGGGUGAGGGACAGCGUGCGUGCAGAGUGCUUGGCUGCGCUGAACUCGAGGCUUAAGCCAGGCCUCGUGGAACAGUGGCUCCAGCAAGGCCUGGAGGCCGAAGGAGCUAGGCUGGAAGCCAAACUCCAUUUCACUCUUUAGCGUGAGCCCGCAGGAGGUUGAGCUUCCUACAGUUCAUAGUCUGUAGAACUGGAGACAGCCCUGGAUCAAGCCGACUUUGUGUGGCUGUUGGGGGCGGGGACCAGGUGAUGGCGAUGAAAAUUGAUGUCUUGUCUUUUCUUCAUUUGCUUCAUAAUUCCCAGUACCGUAAAAAGAAGAAAAGAAAUCCUGC